rnacentral:rRNA from 1 species
CGGAUCUCGAAAGCCUGUCCCAGUUCGGACUGGAGUCUGCAACCCGACUCCACGAAGUUGGAUCCGCUAGUAAUCGCGCAUCAGCCAUGGCGCGGUGAAUACGUUCCCGGGCCUUGUACACACCGCCCGUCAAGCCAUGGGAGCCGGGGGCGCCUGAAGUCCGGGACCGCGAGGACCGGCCUAGGGCGAAACUGGUAACUGGGGCUAAGUCGUAACAAGGUAUC